rnacentral:rRNA from 1 species
ACAGUCACACAUUAGACUACCCCUGUAGUCCCAGCCCUAAACGAUGCGCGUUAGGUGUAUCGGUGACCACGAGUCACCGAGGUGCCGAAGGGAAACCGUGAAACGUGCCGCCUGGGAAGUACGGUCGCAAGGCCGAAACUUAAAGGAAUUGGCGGGGAGCACCACAACGGGUGGAGCCUGCGGUUUAAUUGGACUCAACGCCGGGAAGCUCACCGGAUAAGACAGCGGAAUGAUUGCCGGGCUGAAGACCCUGCAUGACCAGCUG